GACGAACGCUGGCGGCGUGCCUAAUACAUGCAAGUCGAACGCUGAAGGCGGAGCUUGCUCUUCUGGUUGAGUUGCGCACGGGUGAGUAACGCGUAGGUAACCUGCCUGGUAGCGGGGGAUAACUAUUGGAAACGAUAGAUAAUACCGCAUAACAGUAGAUGUUGCAUGACAUUUGCUUAAAAGGUGCAAUUGCACCUCUACUAGAUGGACAUGCGUUGUAUUGGCUAGUUGGUGGGGUAACGGUUCACGAAGGCGACGAGACAUACCCGGACGGAGCGGGGGGUCGGCGAAACGGGAACUGAGACACGGCCCAGGGUCCUGCGUGAGGCAGCAGUAGGGAGUCGGCGGCAAUGGACGGAAGGCGGAACGAGCAAGGCGGCGUGAGUGAAGAAGGAUUUCGGAUCGUAGAGCGUAGUUGUAAGAGAAGAGCGAGGGUGAGAGUGGGAAGUACACGCGGUGACGGUAGCUGACCAGAAAGGGACGGCUAACUACGUG
rnacentral:rRNA from 1 species